CCGCAAUUGGGCCUUAUGUAUAAUAACAACUAUAGGGGUAACCAACUUUUGAUCACCAGUUACGCUCAUGUCACGAAGGGGCAUAACUCAGGAGACGGGAAAGAGUAUGGGGGAUGCUCCGAGAAAACAGGGACACACAAGGCUUUAAUAUGUAUCGGUACCUAAAGAGAGUACGAGAGGGGCGGGUGGACGCGAAGUUGAAUUAGAACUAGUAACUAGACACGACUGGCAAGCAGGUCACAGCAGAUAACCU